rnacentral:rRNA from 1 species
ACGACGCUGGCGCGUGCCUAAGACAUGCAAGUCGCACGAGAAAGUCCUUCGGGACGAGUAGAGUGGCGCACGGGAGAGUAAUACAUCGGAACGUACCUUUCAGUGGGGGAUAACCACGGGAAACUGUGGCUAACACCGCAUAAUGACGUGAGUCUAAACCAGGCCUCUAUUUAUAAGCUUGGGCUGAAUGAGCGGCCGAUGCCCAUUAGCUAGUUGGUAGGGUAAUGGCCUACCAAGGCGACGAUGGGUAGCUGGUCUGAGAGGACGAUCAGCCUCACUGGGACUGAGACACGGCCCAGACUCCUACGGGAGGCAGCGAGUCGGGAAUUGUUGCAACAAUGGGCGCAAGCCUGAUUGCAGCAACGCCGCGUGAGUGAAGAAGGCUCUUGGGUUGUAAAGCUCUUUCGGCCAAGAAGAAGGGUCUGCCUGCGAACAGUCUGCAGAUCUGACGGUAUUGGAAGAAGAAGCACCUGCUAACUUUCGUGCCAGCAGCAGCGGUAAUACGAAGGGUGCAAGCGUUGUUCGGAAUUACUGGGCGUAAAGCGCGCGUAGGCGGGUUUGUAUGUCGAUUGUUGAAAUCCCUGGGCCUAACCUGGAAUCGCUAGUCGAAACUGCAAAUCUUGAAUGUCUGAGAGGAUGGCGGAAUAACCAGGUGUAGAGUAGUGAAAUACGUAGAUUAUCGGUUAGAACACCUGAGGCGAAGGCGGCCUAGUCUGGCGGCACAUUGACGCUGAGGCGCGAAAGCGUGGGGAUGCAACAGCGGAUUAGAUACCCUGGUAGUCCACGCCGUAAACUAUGAUUACUAGGUUCCGGGAUGUUAAACCUCCUGGGUACCGGAGCUCACGCAUUAAGUAAUCCGCCUGGGGAGUACGGUCGCAAGACUAAAACUCAAAGGAAUUGACGGGGGCCCGCACAAGCGGUGGAGUAUGUGGUUUAAUUCGAAGCAACGCGCAGAACCUUACCUGGGCUUAACAUCCUCUGACACCAGUAGAGAUAUUGGGUUCCCUUCGGGGGACAGAGAGAUAGGUGCUGCAUGGCUGUCGUCAGCUCGUGUCGUAAGAUGUUGGGUUAAGUCCCGCAACGAGCACAACCCUUGCCCUUAGUUGCCACCAUUAAGUUGGGCACUCUGAGGGGACUGCCGGUGUUAAACCGGAGGAAGGCGGGGAUGACGUCAAGUCCUCAUGGCCCUUACGUCCAGGGCUACACACGUACUACAAUGGCAGAGACAAAGGGUCGCGAAGCCGCGAGGUGAAGCUAAUCCCAAAAACACUGUCUCAGUCCGGAUUGAAGUCUGCAACUCGACUUCAUGAAGCUGGAAUCGCUAGUAAUCGCAGAUCAGCACGCUGCGGUGAAUACGUUCCCGGGCCUUGUACACACCGCCCGUCACACCACGAAAGUGGUCAUAACCAGAAGCAGGUGCGGCCAACCGCAAGGAGGUAGCCUACCAAGGUUUGUGGCCGUGAUUGGGGUU